AUAAUUUAAAUGAUUUAUUAUCUAAUAUCAUCAAAACUUCAAUUUUAUUCAUUUUUAGUUUAAUUUAUUCAAUUAAUGAAUAAUUAUUUUUAUUGAUAAUAUUUAUAUAAUAAAUUAUUUAUAUAAUAUCUUUAUAUUAUAUAUUUAAAUGAUUUAUUAUCUAAUAUCAUCAAAACUUCAAUUUUAUUCAUUUUUAGUUUAAUUUAUUCAAUUUAAAAAUA
rnacentral:sRNA from 1 species